UCUGGCAGGGAUGACACACUUGCCCUCACUGAGAACACUGUUCAGUAAUGAGAACUUUUCCUAAGUACUCAUUUACUCUGAGCCAGA
rnacentral:snoRNA from 1 species